rnacentral:rRNA from 1 species
GAUGAACGCUGACGGCGUGCCUAAUACAUGCAAGUCGAGCGAACAGAUGAGGAGCUUGCUCCUCUGACGUUAGCGGCGGACGGGUGAGUAACACGUGGAUAACCUACCUAUAAGACUGGGAUAACUUCGGGAAACCGGAGCUAAUACCGGAUAAUAUAUUGAACCGCAUGGUUCAAUAGUGAAAGACGGUUUUGCUGUCACUUAUAGAUGGAUCCGCGCCGCAUUAGCUAGUUGGUAAGGUAACGGCUUACCAAGACAACGAUGCGUAGCCGACCUGAGAGGGUGAUCGGCCACACUGGAACUGAGACACGGUCCAGACUCCUACGGGAGGCAGCAGUAGGGAAUCUUCCGCAAUGGGCGAAAGCCUGACGGAGCAACGCCGCGUGAGUGAUGAAGGUCUUCGGAUCGUAAAACUCUGUUAUUAGGGAAGAACAAAUGUGUAAGUAACUAUGCACGUCUUGACGGUACCUAAUCAGAAAGCCACGGCUAACUACGUG